rnacentral:rRNA from 1 species
GAGUUUGAUUCUGGCUCAGAUUGAACGCUGGCGGCAUGCUUUACACAUGCAAGUCGAACGGCAGCGGGGAAGUGCUUGCACUUCUGCCGGCGAGUGGCGAACGGGUGAGUAAUGCAUUGGAACGUACCGGGUAAUGGGGGAUAACUUGCCGAAAGGUAAGCUAAUACCGCAUACGCUUUAAGAAGGAAAGCGGGGGAUCAUUUGACCUCGCGUUAUCCGAGCGGCCAAUGUCUGAUUAGCUAGUUGGUGGGGUAAAAGCCUACCAAGGCGACGAUCAGUAGCGGGUCUGAGAGGAUGAUCCGCCACACUGGGACUGAGACACGGCCCAGACUCCUACGGGAGGCAGCAGUGGGGAAUUUUGGACAAUGGGCGCAAGCCUGAUCCAGCCAUGCCGCGUGUCUGAAGAAGGCCUUCGGGUUGUAAAGGACUUUUGUACGGGAAGAAAAAGUUGUGGUUAAUACCCAUGAC